rnacentral:SRP_RNA from 1 species
GCUGGGCGUGGUGGCUCACGCCUGUAAUCCCAGCACUUUGGGAGGCCGAGGCAGGUGGAUCACCUGAGGUCAGGAGUUUGAGACCAGCCUGGCCAACAUGGUGAAACCCCGUCUCUA